rnacentral:rRNA from 1 species
CGGCGCACGGGUGCGUAACGCGUAUGCAAUCUACCUUUUACAGAGGGAUAGCCCAGAGAAAUUUGGAUUAAUACCUCAUAGCAUUGCAGAAUGGCAUCAUUCAGCAAUUAAAGUCACAACGGUAAAAGAUGAGCAUGCGUCCCAUUAGCUAGUUGGUAAGGUAACGGCUUACCAAGGCUACGAUGGGUAGGGGUCCUGAGAGGGAGAUCCCCCACACUGGUACUGAGACACGGACCAGACUCCUACGGGAGGCAGCAGUGAGGAAUAUUGGACAAUGGGCGCAAGCCUGAUCCAGCCAUGCCGCGUGCAGGAUGACGGUCCUAUGGAUUGUAAACUGCUUUUGCACAGGAAGAAACAACGCUACGUGUAGCGUCUUGACGGUACUGUGAGAAUAAGGAUCGGCUAACUCCGUGCCAGCAGCCGCGGUAAUACGGAGGAUCCAAGCGUUAUCCGGAAUCAUUGGGUUUAAAGGGUCCGUAGGCGGUUUGGUAAGUCAGUGGUGAAAGCCCAUCGCUCAACGGUGGAACGGCCAUUGAUACUGCCAGACUUGAAUUAUUAGGAAGUAACUAGAAUAUGUAGUGUAGCGAUGAAAUGCUUAGAGAUUACAUGGAAUACCAAUUGCGAAGGCAGGUUACUACUAAUGGAUUGACGCUGAUGGACGAAAGCGUGGGUAGC